rnacentral:rRNA from 1 species
UACGGGGGGUGCAAGCGUUGUUCGGAAUUACUGGGCGUAAAGCGCACGUAGGCGGCUCUGUAAGUUGGGGGUGAAAUCCCGAGGCUCAACCUCGGAAUUGCCUUCAAGACUGCAGGGCUUGAGUUCGGGAGAGGUGAGUGGAAUUCCCAGUGUAGAGGUGAAAUUCGUAGAGAUUGGGAAGAACACCAGUGGCGAAGGCGGCUCACUGGCCCGUAACUGACGCUGAGGUGCGAAAGCGUGGGGAGCAAACAGG